rnacentral:rRNA from 1 species
GACGAACGCUGGCGGCGCGCUUAACACAUGCAAGUCGAGCGAAGCGGCAGACGGGUGAGUAACACGUGAGUAACCUGCCUUAGACAUUGGGAUAGCCUCGGGAAACCGGGAUUAAUACCAAAUGGUCUAAGAUGGACUCGCGUCCCAUUAGCUAGUGGGUGAGGUAACGGCCCACCCAGGCGACGAUGGCUAGCCGGCCUGAGAGGGUGAACGGCAACAUUGGAACUGCGAAACGGGCCAAACUCUACGGGAGGCAGCAGUGGGGAAUAGUGCACAAUGGAGGGAACUCUGAUGCAGCGACGCCGCGUGAACGAAGAAGGCUUUCGAGUCGUAAAGUUCUGUUAUAUGGGAAGCGGUACCAUAAGAAAAAGCCCCGGCUAACUACGUGCCAGCAGCCGCGGUAAUUC